CAGGAACACUCCAAGUUCCACAGUUAAAGAGGACCGGGAGGGCAGGAAUGGGUGGGGCCUGGAAAUCAGCUCCGAAACUGGGUGCGGCACACCUUCCUCUGCCUUUCUGCCUCUCUCCCGGCCACUGCUGCUCCACGGGAGCCAGUCUUGGAUACCUAGGGUGGGGGACAGGGGGACGGGAAGAGCCUCGGUUGUCUCCAGAACCUGCCGAGCCCCUGCUGCAUCUGGGACCCGCCUUCACCGUUUCCCAAUCCCAGCGGUUAGCCCCUGCGCCCCCUUUUUGGUCUCCACUUUGCCGUUCGAAAAUGCCUAGGUUGGUGGAUCGACCCUCCGCGGAGCAAAGACGGAUGGCUGGCAGGAGCAGGUUCAGGAGCUGGGCCAAGUUUCACACGAAGAGACUUGGAGUAUCUGGAGAAGGUUUUUGAAGACGUUUAGGAGGGAGGGUGAGUUUUCUGCUGAGAAACUCAAUCUGCCAUACAGUAGCGGCCCCAUCUGGGAUCUGUCACUGCUGACAGCACCAGAGGGCACAGCCGUGAUCUUCUGCACAGCCUGCACUCCCCGAAAUACCCUCCUUAAUCAAAGGAUGUCUGCGCGCCUGAGCUCAGCUGACCGCGCCGGGAGCACCAGGGCCGUUGGAUUCCACCCCAGCCCGCCCCCUCCCCACGCACACAGCCACGGCCCCUCGCGUCUUCGCGGCACGUUAAUUAAAUGCGGAAAACAGACAGAGGCUGAUGUCAUUGCUCUCACAAGAUCAUAAACGUAAAAGAGUCAUCCUGUGAGAAUCCCUGAAAAUGACUUUAAUGAAUAAUUUCAGAGACAGUUAUGACUUUGGGUGAUUACUGAGCAAGAAUAUGAAAACCAGAUUUGCAAAGCGAAGGCGAUGGUCAAAAGGCCUGGCAGUUACUUUCUCUCAUUAAAACCGCACCGGCUUUCCUUCUUCGCCAAGUACUAGUUACCAACUGAGGUUGCGUUUUCAGGUUUUCUUCUUCAAAAUAACAGUCUUCUUUUCCUGCUUUUCUGCCUUAUCCUAAAGACAAAAUGUCAGCUCCAGGGAACGACAUUAACAACCCACUUUAAAUUGAAGGCAACUCUGCACUGGCGUCAGUGGCCAUUGGCUUCCAUCUUUUUACAAAGGUUGGAUUUACUGCCAUCUUAGGAUCAUAUCUCUUUUGGCCUCUUCUCUAGGCAAUGUAUUUAAUGAAGGUUGAACAUUCUCACUGACCCUGAGUCAGUGCACUGUUUGUUGUAAAGGAUCUCAGCUGGUGGGGCAAAAAACAAGUUCCAAACAACCUGCCUUUACAGAAGAGUCUCCCUGACUCUUUAGUUCUAGGUCACCAAUGAACUGAAAAAUGAUUUGGUGCUACAUUAAGGAAUAUUUUCAAACACUCCAUCUGGCCAUGGAGAAGCAUCCAGUUGGUUAUAUCUGGUUGCUCAUGCAUUAAAAAUACUAUUUGAGAAAACAACUAGGGUGUUAGUUGUGGAAGUGGCCUGGUGAGUACCCUCUGAUCUUUUGCACGAAGUUUAGCUGCCUGCAAGUCUGUCUUCUUUGCUUGAAAAUAUAAACUGGGACUCUCUGGGCCUGUGUCCCAUGUGGAUUUAUUCCACUUAAUUCAAGUAAAAGUUUGUUUAUACUCUGAGCAAGAAAGUAUUAUAGGCACAAGUGAUGUGGAGUUUUCAGUUUGCUUGUUUUUUGCUGUUGUUUGUUUGCUUUUGAGCGAUCUGAGUGAUUUAGAAAACUAAUGUGUCUCAGUCGGCUCCACCAUUCAGACAGAUCAUAGAGAACCCACUUACCAGCACUCUAGAAAACUGUACUUUGUGCAGACAUUGCCUGAUCCUCCCCUUUCUAGAAGCACAGAUAGGCCAGAAUCCUUCAGUCACUGAGGACACAAUUGUCUAAAAGCCUCAUUCCCUAUCAUUAGCCCCCAAACCGCAGAGCUGUUUCCUUCCCUCUUGGCUCCAGAUAGGGGUGGGUGGGAGAGGGGACUAGGCUCUCCAUGUGACAUUUCCCUGACUUGAGAGGAAAUGUUUCUUUCUGAUUCUAGAUUACAUGAAGACACUUUGGAGUUGGUGUAUAGGGUUUCCUCAAAGAACUGAGGUAACGUGGACUUUAGGGAAUUUUCCUCAAUUGGAUUCCCUGUUUAUUUGUGAUACUAUUUGUGUCCCCCAAAUAGAUCUUCUUGUUGCUCCACUCACAUCAUGAGCAGUUUUCCUUUUCCUCUAGUUACAUUCACUCUAGCUUCUGACUGAAGACUCUGCUUGCCCUUUGUAGCCCGUGCAGGAAUAAACAGCAUCUUCUGGAUUUGCUUUGAAUCCUUGUGCUGCCCAAUGAGUCAGAGGUGUAGGGUUGAUCCAAUAAUAUGGCUAAUUCUCUCCCUGUAAAGACUUUAAAUAAUGUAGGCCUCUCUUCACCCAUCCCCCAUUCUCACCAUCCUGGACUUCACGCGGGUCAUGGAGAAGGUGUCCAGGGUGGGAGGCACGCUGGGUGGGUGUGGCCUCCUUUGGCACAGUGGUUCGGCAUCCUCUGGGGGAGAUUUUGAAAACUGCAGGCUCCGCGUCGAGCCCCUGACCUGCUGAAUCAGAAUUUCUGGUGAAGGUAGGGUGAAAACGGGGCUGAAUUUGUCAUUGUAUCAAGUUGUCCGGGGAGUGGAAAGUCCAGGUGUUGGAUUAAUCCCAGCACCCCUUACUUCAGAAGAGACCAGGCUAUCCCGCAGAACGCUAGGGUCAGAGGUCUGGGGCAUCAGUCAGCCCGUCCAGGAAUUAUGCAAAUAUAUGCAGCCUCUACUCUGAACACUGGGACGUAGUAGGGGACAAAGCUGCCGCCAGCCGUCCUCGUCCUUGCGAGGUGUCAGUGUUUGCGCCAGGGACAACUCCCUGGAGGGCUGGGGGAAGGGAGGGGCAAAAGAGGGUCCAGGGCCUCAGCUCGCUAUGUACUUUAGGGUUUAAUAACAGGUGCAAAGGCAGCUGCUAAAAGACAUCGCAUUCUGUAAUCAGCUUCUGCCAGGCUGUCCGGCUAAACAGAAACUCCCACAAUUUUGGCCCGAGGGCUGUAGGGCGGAGCGGGUGCCAGUGAGAUGAGGGCAACCCUAAGAGGUGGCAUAAGAGCCUUACCCCUAAGAGCCACCCCAACCCCAUCCGGGGCUUGCACCGGCACCGCCUGGGCCGCAGUUGUUGCCUCAGGGAAGCUUCGCCCUGGCGCAGGGAUAGAGCAAAGAAGCGACCGCAUGUGGAAGGCUUUCCAGGCGGAAUGCUCCAGCCGUAGCGAGUUGGAAAAUUUAGAGUGGGGAGGGGGCAGUAGAGAUGUUAACUGGCCCCUCCUCACCCCAAACAAGGAAAACACAGUCUUCUGGGCUAAAAAUACAUAUUUAUGAAGUCCCUAUACGCAGGCAGGCGGCGCGUUCCAGCUGCCGGCCUGGCCCAGGGAGGACUUGGCCGCGCGGCCGCCGAUUACACCCAACUCGGCUGGGAUGGCUCCGAGCCGUCUGCCCUGACGUCAGCGAGGCUCCGGCCCCGCCGCGGCAAGAUAGGCGAGCGCGGCCGGGCGCGGGUGCGGCACUAAUCACUCCCAGAUGUCCCUAAUAGCGGAGAUAAAGACGGACAGAGCGGCCGGGAAUAAAUUUGUAAUCAGGGCUCUACCAUCUGAUCAUCAAAGCGGCCCAAAUGCCGGGAGAAUUUGAAGGGAAUGCGUGUGAGGGGGGUCGCUUGGGGGAAGAGGUGAGGGUGCACUUCGCGAUGGGAACUGGCUUCGGUAGGGUAGAGCAGGGAGAACAGGGCGAGAGAUCUGUAAGUUCGGUGCACGUAAGUCGGAUACUCGGUGCUCUUUAACCUCCAUUAGCCCUCAGACCGAAGCCGUUUAGCGGUUCCAGGCUGAUUGGAGCUGCGCAGUUGCUGUGCGGGAAGCACGCGUUGCGCAGCGGCUGGGUGGUAAGGCGGCGCGAUGAGAACUGUCCGGCCCCCGGAAACGUGGGAUUGGUUUCCUCUCCCGGAGUUCUCCCCUCCCCCUUCUUUCUAAACAUUUAAAAAACACGUAGUCCGUCUCCCCCAACCCCCAUUCCCGGUAGACUUAAUCCCAACAGCAAUUCAUUGCACCGCGGAGCUUCCUCAGGGAGGGGGCUGUUGGAGCC
rnacentral:lncRNA from 1 species